rnacentral:rRNA from 1 species
AGCGAACGCUGGCGGCAGGCCUAACACAUGCAAGUCGAACGAACCUUUCGGGGUUAGUGGCGGACGGGUGAGUAACACGUGGGAACGUGCCUUUAGGUUCGGAAUAACUCAGGGAAACUUGUGCUAAUACCGAAUGUGCCCUUCGGGGGAAAGAUUUAUCGCCUUUAGAGCGGCCCGCGUCUGAUUAGCUAUUUGGUUGAGGUAAUGGCUCACCAAGGCGACGAUCAGUAGCUGGUCUGAGAGGAUGAUCAGCCACAUUGGGACUGAGACACGGCCCAAACUCCUACGAGAGGCAGCAGUGGGGAAUCUAGCGCAAUGGGCGAAAGCCUGACGCAGCCAGGCCGGGUGAAUGAUGAAGGUCUUAGGAUUGUAAAAUUCUUUCAACGGGGACGAUAAUGACGGUACCCGAAGAAGAAGCCCCGGCUAACUUCGUG